rnacentral:lncRNA from 1 species
CCACCUACUGAGCACCCUGCUGAUAUAUCAAGGGGAUAGGACAAUAAGAUUUACUCCUGGCUCCUAGACAACAUCAGCGUAUUUUCAUAGUGGUCCCAAGCUCCCCAGGGUGAUCAGAAGACCAGGCCUCCCAUCAGCCAGCCAGUGGAGGCUAUUUGGAAGCCCCUCAGCUCAACUGAGAGAGCCAGAGGCCCCUCCAGGCUGCCAGGAUCCAAGGAAGGCAGGAUGAAUCUCCCGCACAGUGGGAAGCAACCUCAGAUUGGGAAGAGUUCCUCCCAAAGUCAACUCAAUAAAACAAAGAAGUCUUAUG